rnacentral:pre_miRNA from 1 species
AGGAGAAACAACAGUGGCGGCAGCCAGCUCUGGAGCCCUAUAGUCAGCUCCCGCAGUAACUACAGAGCUCUCUGUCUGCAGGGGCCUGGAUGCUCCAUGGGUGG